UUUAACGUUAAGGUAUCUCCAACACAUAAAAGAAGAGCAACAAUGGUCAGACCACAUGGGAAGCAUUUCAGAGCCUAUUUAUGCGGAUGUUGCAAGGCAAAAAAAUGGUCACGAUUGCGGCGUAUAUUUGUUAGAGUUUGCAAGAGUAAUAAUAAAGGAGGGAUGCAUCAACUCAUCGAUAGAAAAUAUAAACAGUGAGGAAGAC